rnacentral:rRNA from 1 species
CCUACGGGAGGCAGCAGUAAGGAAUAUUGGACAAUGGUGGCAACACUGAUCCAGCCAUGCCGCGUGCAGGAUGACGGUUCUAUGAAUUGUAAACUGCUUUUAUACGGGAAAAACCCUCAAGACGUGAUUUUGAGCUGAUUGUACCGUAAGAAUAAGGAUCGGCUAACUUCGUGCCAGCAGCCGCGGUAAGACGAAGGAUCCAAGCGUUAUCCGGAUUUAUUGGGUUUAAAGGGUGCGUAGGCGGACUCAUAAGUCAGUGGUGAAAUCCCAAAGCUUAACUUUGGAACUGCCAUUGAUACUGUAAGUCUUGAGUAUGUUUGAAGUGGGCGGAAUGUAUUGUGUAGCGGUGAAAUGCUUAGAUAUAAUACAGAACACCAAUUGCGAAGGCAGCUCACUAAACCAUAACUGACGCUGAGGCACGAAAGCAUGGGGANCAAACAGGAUUAGAUACCCUGGUAGUCCAUCGACCCUAAACGAUGAAUACUCGAUAUGUGCGAUAUACAGUACGUGUACAAGCGAAAGCAUUAAGUAUUCCGACGUGGGAGUACGCUCGAGAGAGUAGAAACGUAGAAAGGUAGUUACGGACGGACGAGAGACGACGGACCGACGGACGACGACGAGGGAGGAGG